GAUCUGUCAGUUCGCGGAGAUGGAGGAAAAUGGCCGCCGGGUUUGUUGAGGGCGAAGCGCUGAAAGCCGCCGUCUCUCCCUUUCCCGUCCUCUGACAGCGCCCGCGGCAAAGCGGGUCCUUUCCGUUCGAGCUGUAGGCGCGGUCCUCGGGCCGCGUUAUGAGACGGUUUUGCAAUAAAGGGAACUACAACUUUUCGUGAAAAUGUCAGUUCUGAUAUCACAGAGUGUAAUAAAUUAUGUGGAAGAGGAAAACAUUCCUGCCCUGAAAGCUCUUCUAGAAAAAUGCAAAGAUGUAGAUGAGAGAAAUGAGUGUGGCCAGACUGCACUGAUGAUAGCUGCUGAACAAGGCAACCUGGAAAUAGUGAAAGAAUUAAUUAAGAAUGGAGCUAAUUGCAAUCUGGAAGAUUUGGAUAACUGGACAGCACUGAUCUCGGCAUCAAAGGAAGGGCACGUGCACAUUGUGGAGGAACUGCUGAAAUGUGGGGUCAACUUGGAGCACCGCGACAUGGGAGGAUGGACCGCUCUCAUGUGGGCAUGUUACAAAGGCCGCACCGAAGUGGUCGACUUGCUGCUUUCUCAUGGCGCCAAUCCGAGCGUCACUGGUUUGCAGUACAGUGUUUACCCCAUUAUUUGGGCAGCAGGGAGAGGCCAUGCGGAUAUAGUGCAUCUUUUACUGCAAAAUGGCGCUAAAGUCAACUGCUCGGAUAAGUAUGGAACUACUCCUCUGGUUUGGGCUGCACGGAAGGGUCAUUUAGAAUGUGUAAAACAUUUACUGGCCAUGGGAGCUGAUGUUGAUCAAGAAGGAGCUAAUUCAAUGACUGCACUGAUUGUGGCAGUAAAAGGAGGCUACACUCAGUCAGUGAAGGAAAUUUUGAAAAGAAAUCCAAAUGUCAAUUUAACAGAUAAGGAUGGAAAUACAGCUUUGAUGAUUGCAUCAAAGGAGGGUCAUACGGAGAUUGUACAGGAUCUGCUCGAUGCUGGAACAUACGUGAACAUCCCUGAUAGGAGUGGAGAUACCGUGUUGAUUGGUGCUGUCAGAGGUGGUCAUGUAGAAAUCGUUCGAGCACUUCUCCAGAAAUAUGCUGAUAUAGACAUUAGAGGACAGGACAACAAAACUGCUUUAUAUUGGGCUGUAGAGAAAGGAAAUGCGACGAUGGUGAGAGAUAUCUUACAGUGCAAUCCUGACACUGAAAUAUGCACAAAGGAUGGUGAAACACCACUUAUAAAGGCCACCAAGAUGAGAAAUAUCGAGGUAGUGGAGCUGUUGCUAGAUAAAGGAGCUAAAGUAUCGGCCGUGGAUAAGAAAGGAGACACGCCUUUGCAUAUUGCUAUCCGUGGGAGGAGUCGCAAACUGGCAGAACUUCUUUUAAGAAAUCCCAAAGAUGGAAGGUUACUUUAUAGGCCGAACAAAGCAGGCGAGACUCCCUACAACAUUGACUGUAGCCAUCAAAAAAGUAUUUUAACUCAGAUAUUCGGAGCCAGACACUUGUCUCCUACUGAGACCGACGGUGACAUGCUCGGUUACGACUUGUAUAGCAGUGCCCUGGCAGACAUUCUCAGUGAGCCUACCAUGCAGCCGCCCAUCUGUGUGGGGCUGUAUGCACAGUGGGGAAGUGGCAAAUCCUUCUUACUCAAGAAACUAGAAGAUGAAAUGAAGACUUUUGCCGGACAACAGAUUGAACCUCUUUUUCAGUUUUCCUGGCUUAUAGUAUUUCUGACUUUGCUGCUCUGUGGAGGGCUUGGUUUACUGUUUGCUUUUACAGUUGACCUGAAUCUUGGAAUAGCAAUAUCAUUGAGCUUCUUGGCUCUCUUAUAUAUAUUUUUUAUCGUCAUUUACUUUGGUGGCCGGAGGGAAGGAGAGAGUUGGAAUUGGGCCUGGGUCCUCAGCACCAGAUUGGCGAGACACAUUGGCUACUUGGAGCUGCUCCUCAAGUUGAUGUUUGUCAACCCGCCUGAGCUGCCGGAGCAAACCACGAGAGCUUUACCUGUGAGGUUUUUGUUUACAGAUUACAACAGGCUGUCCAGUGUAGGCGGAGAAACAUCGAUGGCUGAAAUGAUCGCGACUCUGUCGGAUGCUUGUGAGAGAGAGUUUGGCUUUUUGGCAACCAGGCUCUUUCGAGUAUUCAAGACUGAAGAUACACAGGGCAAAAAGAAAUGGAAAAAAACGUGUUGCCUCCCAUCUUUUGUCAUCUUCCUUUUUAUCUUUGGCUGCAUUAUUGCUGGAAUUACUCUCCUGGCUAUCUUCAGAGUUGACCCAAAACAUCUGACAGUGAAUGCCGUCCUCAUAUCUAUUGCGUCGAUAGUGGGGUUGGCCCUCGUGCUGAACUGUCGUACGUGGUGGCAGGUGCUGGACUCUCUCCUGAAUUCUCAAAGGAAACGCCUCCACAAUGCUGCCUCCAAACUGCACAAGCUGAAAAGUGAGGGAUUCAUGAAGGUUCUUAAGUGUGAAGUGGAAUUGAUGGCCAGGAUGGCGAAGACCAUCGACAGCUUCACUCAGAACCAGACAAGGCUGGUGGUCAUCAUCGACGGACUAGAUGCCUGUGAGCAGGACAAAGUGCUCCAGAUGCUGGAUACUGUCCGAGUUCUGUUUUCAAAAGGCCCAUUCAUUGCCAUUUUUGCAAGUGAUCCACAUAUUAUUAUAAAAGCAAUUAACCAGAACCUGAAUAGCGUGCUUCGUGACUCAAACAUAAAUGGACACGACUAUAUGCGCAAUAUAGUUCAUUUACCCGUUUUCCUUAAUAGUCGUGGACUGAGCAAUGCAAGAAAAUUUCUUGUAACUUCAACAACAAAUGGGGACAUUCCGUGCCCAGAUACUGCAGGGAUACAGGAGGAUGCUGACAGAAGAGUUUCACAAAACAGCCUUGGAGAGAUGACUAAACUUGGUAGCAAGACAGCCCUUAAUAGACGGGAUACUUACCGAAGAAGGCAGAUGCAGAGGACCAUCACUCGGCAGAUGUCCUUCGAUCUUACGAAACUGCUGGUUACUGAGGACUGGUUCAGUGAUAUAAGUCCUCAGACUAUGAGAAGAUUGCUUAAUAUUGUUUCUGUGACAGGGCGAUUACUGAGAGCCAAUCAGAUUAGUUUCAACUGGGACAGGCUUGCUAGCUGGAUCAAUCUUACUGAGCAGUGGCCAUACCGAACUUCAUGGCUCAUAUUAUAUUUGGAAGAGACUGAAGGGAUUCCAGAUCAAAUGACACUGAAAGCCAUCUAUGAAAGGAUAUCAAAGAAUAUUCCAACAACUAAAGAUGUUGAGCCACUGCUUGAAAUAGAUGGAGAUAUAAGAAACUUUGAAGUGUUCUUGUCUUCAAGGACCCCAGUUCUUGUGGCUCGAGACGUAAAAACCUUUUUGCCAUGCACUGUAAACCUAGACCCCAAACUACGGGAAAUUAUUGCAGAUGUUCGUGCUGCGAGGGACCAGAUUAAUAUCGGCGGACUUGCAUACCCCCCGCUGCCUUUACACGAAGCUCCUCCAAGGCCACCGUCAGGCUACAGUCAGCCUCCGUCUGUCUGUUCUUCUUCUACUUCCUUCAACGGACCGUUUGGAGGUGGGGUCGUGUCUCCACAGCCUCACAGCAGCUAUUACAGUGGGAUGACGGGACCCCAGCAUCCAUUCUACAACAGGCCAUUCUUUGCCCCCUACCUUUACACGCCAAGGUAUUACCCUGGCGGCUCCCAACACCUCAUCUCACGUCCAUCAGUAAAAACGAAUUUGCCCAGAGAUCAAAGCAAUGGCCUAGAGGUUAUCAAGGAGGAUGCUGCUGAGGGGCUUCCUUCACCCACAGACUCCUUGAGGGAGCAGACUUGGACAAGAAAGCUAAAGACGCCAUGGCCGUGUGACUCUGGGUUUAACAAACAAAGACAGGGGUCAGGCCCAGCCUCAGGAGCAGUGGUAUCACUGAAUUCAAUGAAUGUGGAUGCGGUAUGUGAGAAACUGAAGCAAAUAGAGGGGCUGGACCAGAGUAUGCUGCCUCAGUAUUGUGCAACAAUCAAAAAGGCAAACAUAAAUGGCCGUGUGUUAGCUCAGUGUAACAUUGAUGAGCUGAAGAAAGAGAUGAAUAUGAAUUUUGGGGACUGGCAUCUUUUUAGAAGCAUGGUACUAGAAAUGAGAAGUGCAGAAAACCAAGCGGUCCCCGAAGACUCGCGUUUACUUAGUGAGAACAGCAGCGGCCCGGUUCCCCACGGCGAGUCUGCUCGGCGCUCCUCCCACAACGAACUGCCUCAUACUGAGCUUUCCAGUCAGACCCCCUACACACUGAACUUCAGCUUUGAGGAACUGAAUACCCUUGGCCUAGAUGAAGGUGCCCCACGUCACAGUAAUCUAAGUUGGCAGGAAGAAAACGCUGCCCUUGAGAUAGAUACAUCUUCAGAGGAUCCAAUUUAAACUAAGGCAACAGGGGCUCUAGAUCUUAAGUGUCCUGCCCGUAGACCCUAUCUCGUGGCAAUUCGGGUAGCUUCUCACAGUCGGCUCCUCGCCAAACAUAAGGGGUAACGAAGACGCUACCGAUUACCACUCAGUAAUCCUGCUACCCGCUCGCUGGAGAAGAGAGACUGGCUCACCUCCACCAGUUUUCUUUGUGGCUAGCAGUUGUAAAAUUUGAAUUCGUUUCAACGAAGUGUUCCAUUUAUGCAAUUUUAGAUAAAAGCCAAACGUGUAGCAAAAAGCAUGUGAAUGGAUUCAACAUAACCUAACAUUUCAUGUCUGGUAGCAUCUUCUUGGUCAAGUAGCUAGUAAAAGUUAGAUUGUUAUUUUCAAAAUUAGAGCUCCUGACACUAGUACCUUUUUAGCUAUGUUUCUGAGAAUUCACACGCAGCAUAUUGUUACGGUUAAUGCAUAUUAAACUCUUUGUGUUUUUUAAAAAAUUAUUUUCUUUUUGAGUUCUUUGUGUUUUUCUUCCUCUACUUUUUACCUGAGUUCUUUUCACUCUUUUUUUUUUUUUUUGUCUUAAGUCGUUUUUGUUGUUGUUGCUGUUGUGUUUACGUUGUUCUAUAUUCAUCCUAUUUUACCAUAAAGCAUUCCUUAGAGCAGCAGAUCGGGAAAGACCCUCAUUACCUUUUAGACCAAACCUUGGAUUUCAGACAGCCAGCGGACAUUCAGUCAGCACUUGUGAAGACGUUGGAAAUAUUUUCAGGUGUAACUUAGCACGCACAUGUUUUCUCUGAGCCCCGUGGGACCACAUCAUUAUAAUGAGGACCUUCCUCUGAGAGCCAUCUCAGAGAGUCUGGUAUGUAGGCUUACCCACUACAGCUUGGUCUUCCAGCCUUUCUUUCGGGAGGAUUCUUUACUGUGUUCCCUGGCCACCCGUCAUCGCUCUCUGCCGUCCGUGUCUCUGUCUCGGGUGGGCCUAAGUGUGACCAACAAUGAGCAUGUUAUUCUGGGAUUCUAUCCUGAAUACUUUAUACACGAGCCGGCCAUCAUGUGUUUGAAGAUUUCUUCAGGAAAGUAGGCUGACCGCUGUAACAACCCCCAAAUCUCAUUGACUCAAUACUGUUGAGGUUUAUUUCUUCUUACUCCUGUGACAGUUCACUGUCAUCUAAGUUGGCAUAGAGGCUCGGAGACUCACGCCCCUUCAUCUGUGGCGUCACCAGGUUCCAAGGCUUCAGAGUCCUCUGUCCAUCUCCCACGUUCCUUGGACACACGAGAGCAGAGAGGGGGGAGGACCGCACACCAGCAGUGAGCUCCAUCCAGGCCAGGAGGUGAUGUGGAUGCACUUCCAUUGGCCUUCCUAAGCCAUGUGGUAGCACUCAGCCACAAGGGAGGCUGGGAGUUAGGUGAACUGUUUCCGCUCUGCACAAAGAGCCAACAUUUUGGCGAGCACGUGGGAGUCUUUUCUGCUUCGGUACUUGAUGUGGAUUAUCUGCGGCAGAUUAAAUACUGUGACUCAUCUUGUUUUCAACGUUAACAGCAGUUAGUUCUUUUUGUUGACAUCUCUUUUAAAUUUUCCUUUGUAUGUGGUUUUCCUUCUGGUAGAGAAGUCUGUUAAAAUUAUAACACCUCACCUAGAAGGAUUUUAGGGGAGGUUGGUUUUCAGUUAGCGAGUUCUUUCUGUGCAUCCAAUAAAUUUAACAGAUUUCUAACGUGGAGCAAAUUGCAGGGAGAAUUAAGCAAGGUUACAAAUGGGAAAAGAAUAAUGUUUCACCUUCCCUAGAAUUCUUUUCUAUCCAAAGACUCUCAGGUCAUCCAGAAUCUGCCCAACUUUCUGUUGCUAUGGAUUCUUUGAACUUUCUUCCUCCUGGCACAGAGCCAACAGCACCCCUGGCUGCUUUUCCUUGUACUUGAGAUGUGGAAGGAUGUGGUGCUGGAAGGUUCCCGCCCCCCUGGGGUGGGGCCUGGUAGUUGCAAGAAGCUAGACCCUUGUUAGCAACCACUCCUAAUUGGGGAAAUAGAGCUCCCACCCUUAGAAGUCAGUGGAAAAUUAGACUUUAGGCCCAUAAUUUUGUUCUUAAACUCUUCUGUAGUCUAACUCUCUUGACCACUUUCCAGUUUUUUCCCAUCAGUAUUUCAUCGAUUCUAAGAUGCACUUUUUUUCACGGUGUGACCUUUCUGAAACAUCUUCACAACCAACAGCAUCAAUGGCAGCAUCGCUCCUUAACAUUUCCUAAGGUAACGACACCUCCUCCAGUUCAUGAGGUCUUGUUUGGUUGAUAAAACAUGAUAUUAUUUUAAUAUAUGGCACGGUCAUGUUGAAUUGCACUUUAAGCAAUAGCGAUGAGCUGGUGAUGAUUUGUAUGUCACCGACGUCCGAAAGUCACCAUUUUAUGUUGAAUAUUUGUGUUAUCAGUCAUUGCUCAUCCUGUAUUCAUUUUGGAUACUUAAAGUAUUGUUAUGCAUUUAUUAUAAUAAAAUAACUUACAGUUAUUGAUCACACAUUAUGCGCCUGACAAUAUUCUAAGAGGCUUAUACGUAUAAAGUGAUUUCAUCCUCACAACGACUUCAUAAAGUAAUUACUAUUAUCCUCGAUUUGCAAAUGAGAAACUGAGUGACAGAGAGACGAAGGUCACAUAGCAGUGAAGUGAUGGGGUCAGGUUCCAAGCCCCGGCAGGGUGGUUCUAGAAUGCCCAUUCUUCAUGCUACAUUUAUUUUAUUGUUCUUUAGCUGGUUCGGGAUGGGUCAAUUCUUACAUUUUUCAAGAGAGAUCUUAAUUUUAGCUUUAUUUGCUGCACCAUCAUCAUUGUCUAUUUGUUUUUAAAAUAGGGUUUGGGGUCUCUCUGUUUUGUUUUAGAAAGAUAGAGAUCUAAAGAUAGUCUAUAGUCCUGUAAAUUACAUUUAUAGAGAAAAAAAAUUUUAACAUCAAACACCUUUGUUCCUACUAAUGAUUCUGGAACAAUGUCGGAGUUUUGGUUAAAAAUUUAUUGACUUUAAAACCAUCUUUUAUCCCAGUAUUAUUGAUGGAUUAGACCACUACAUUCAAGUUUGCACAUAACGUUGAAAAUGACUCAUUUUCUUUGCAGGCUUAUUGUUAUUUGGCUUUCUUAUACUUGCUCUUCUGUAUGUCUACUGUCAGUAUUCUGUAUUAGAUUUUAUCCUAAAUACUGCAACAUGUAUUUUUCUUUAUAUCCUAUUAUUGAACAGAAUUAAUGCUUAAUAAAUGUUAAUAGAUAAGUAA